CCACUAGUUUGUGCGCAACGAAAGCACCCCUGGUCCUGUAGAGGCCGGGGGUGUUCUCGUCUUGGAAGUGGGUUCAACUCCUAUCGGUAGG
rnacentral:tRNA from 1 species